CCAAGGAGUUCAAAUUGUGCGCAAGUCUAAAGGUAAUUAAUAAACCCGAAGGCGAAAUGAAAGUGAAACUGUAGGAAGGCGAAGUUGCGCGUUCUUCCGCGGUAGAUUUAUUUGCCGCUGGUUCGUUUCGCGUAUUCUUCCAUAACCUUUCUUUUAACAAAGGGAAGAUGGAGAUAACUGACGUUUCUCCCGCAUUCCCGGGGCGCCCCGGAGCAGGCCGGGGUGCACCCAGAGCGUACAAUAUGAUACCCGAAAGAUGGUGAUCUAUACUUGGCCGGGACGAAGUCGGGGGAAACCCCGGUGGAGGUCCUAAGCGAUUCUGACGUGCAAAUCGAUCGCAAGAGCUAAGCAUAGGGGCGAAAGACCAAUCGAACCAUCUAGUAGCUGGUUCCCUCCGAAGUUUCCCUCAGGAUAGCUGGCGCUCAUUAACAAAAUAUUGGAGUCUCAUCUGGUAAAGCUAAUGACUAGAGGCAUUGGGGCCGAAUCGGCCUUGACCUAUUAUCAAACUGUAAAUGGGUGAAAACUCGAAGCCUACCUAAAAAUCGAAGAAACUCCCACGGGUGUUUUUUUCGAGGCUCGAGGAACUUUUUAAAAGUUUGUGUUUGGAAACGAUCCGCUCAUAGUCCUUUUUUUAAGGGAUUUGUGUUGGACAGGAUCUUGAACGCAAACAGAAAUAACAAAAAUGAGAUCCGAGUGCCCAGUGGGCCGUUUCUGGUAAGCAGAACUGGUGCUGCGGGAUGAACCGAACGCGGAGUUAAGGCGCCUAAGCGGGAGCUGACCUUGUCCCCUCAAAGGGGGCCGGUCGCUAGUGACAGCAGGUCGGUGGCUAUGGAGGUUGGCAUCCGCUAAGGAGUGUGUAACAACUCACCUGCCGAAGUGACUGAUGUUGAAAAUGGAUGGCGCUUGAGCUCCCCGCCUAUACUCCGCCGUCGGAGGCAGUGAUCGCGGCGUUCUUUUAACCGAGGCGCCACGCUGAAGCCCCGACGAGUAGGAGGGUCGCUGCGGUGGCGUAGAAGGGUGAGGCGUGAGCCGACCUGGAGCCUCCGUGGGUGCAGAUCUUGGUGGUAGUAGCAAUUACUCUAAAGAGACACCUGGAGGGCCGCGGAGAUGGGUUUCGUGACAACAGCAGUUGGACACGAGUUAAUCGAUCCUAAGCAGCGAGGGAAACCUCUUUCACUGUGAGUCCCUUCAGCAAGGACAAUGAAACAACAAUGAAUGCUGCGAAAGGGAAUCAGGUUAAUAUUCCUGAAUCUGGUGGCGGCAGACGCAAAUCAAUGAGUGCCCUCGUUGGAGCAACUUUUUUUAAUUUGCUCAUUUCCUGGCAACAGGAGUCAACCCGGGGACGCCGCGGGGAGGCCAAGGAAGAGUUAUCUUUUCUUGUUAAGUGCUUGUGGACCCUGUAAGUCUUUCUAUGAGAGAUUGGGUAUGAAGCACGAAAGAGCGCCGCAGCUGUGUGGUGUCUUGGUUCUCCUCCUGGCCCUUGAAAACCCGGGUGAGGUGCAAGGCGUGCUGUUCGCAACGUGGU
rnacentral:rRNA from 1 species